GUCAGCCAUCAGCCUGUUGAAACUUCAAAAUUUUGAAAUUAGAUGAUGAUGAUGAUCAACAAUGGAAACUCUAAAUCUGACCUUGAUGAGAAAUGCAGGCGGGAGCAGAAACUGAACCUAAGGAAGAAGGAGAGAGGAAGAGGAAGAAGAACACAGAGCCCAAGGCGGUGUGGGCAUGUCUGGUUUUAGUUUUGGCAAGUGUCUCGGGGGGGUUUUUGAUGGUUUGGUGGGCGGUUCGGUUCCAUGGAUCACAGAACCAACAGUGGAUGGUACCUGUCAGCCUUGUUCUGAUGAUCGCCCCCAUCUUCAUUUUGAUCUCUCUUUUCAUCUCUGGUUUCUGCAGUUCCAUGGACAGAAGUUCCUCCUUGGUUUCAUCCUUGGAUCAUGGUCAAUCACCUGAAAUUAGAUGAUGACCAAGAUUUACUCUUUUUUUGUUUUGUUUGUUUUUUGGGGUUAAUGGGGAUAUUGGGGCUCCACCUCCAUCUAUUUCUAGGCAGACCUGUCUGCUCUAAGGCCAGUUCUAUUAGGUUUCAAGGGGACCCACCCACCCUAGAUUUGUCAUUUGACCCAGAUUUACAUGUUACAAAACUAUAUAACGAGCAAUUCUACUUCUAUAUGUAAAUAAGCUAUUGCCAUCACUGGUA